rnacentral:lncRNA from 10 species
ACAAACAAAUGAAAUUAGGAAUGAAUGAUCAGAAAAUGGAAGACAGUGUUCUAAUGAAAAGUGAUAAUCUCCUAUCAGUUUCCAGCCUCAAACCAGUUAUCAUACUUGGAACUCAUUGACUAAAAGAGAGACCAGAUUCCAAGAAGAAAGGGCACUGCAACUGUGGGAAUUGUCUGCAGUAAUGAUUACCUAGUUUUUUUGCAAAGGGAGUCUAUGACUUUUUACUCAGGUACAAUCAGUCUAAAGCAGACCAGAGUUGGG